UAUAUAUAUAUCUGUGUGUGUUUGUGUGCACGCGUAUAUAUGUAUCAUACACACACAAACACACAUACCUAUAUACAUG